UCAGCCAAAUCCUGCCCGCGCCUUGUCAGCGGGUCCCCCUGGGGCCCUGCCUGCAGAACGAUGAUAAGGGAAUCGGAUUUUCACAUUGACACCAGAGGCGAAAUCCACACAUCCAGAAUAUUUAGACAGAACACUCACCCUGGCCUGGCCUGCAUCACAGCAAAGAAUCACAGGGAUGUGAGACCCAAUGGGCUCCGGGCUUGGCCCACAACGAGUCCGCGCCAAUUGGUCCUAUGAAAUAUCUCUUUUCCGGGAGCUGGUCUUUAUGUUUGGUAUCUGCUCUCUUGGACAAGCAGUCAGCCUGGAGGCCAUGUUUCCCUCAUGGUCUUGCAUCCUUCAUCAUCACAUUCUAUGCUGCCCUGUCGUCUGGAUACAGAGUCUGUCCAAGAAGAGAUCUGAGCAAUAAUAAAGAUUUGGCUUUGGUGACUGGCCUUACUGGGGAUGAGGAAUGUGAAUAUCAAAAUUGAAUCUG